ACGGGAGGCAGCAGUGGGGAAUAUUGGGCAAUGGACGAAAGUCUGACCCAGCGACGCCGCGUGAGGGAAGAAGGUCUUCGGAUUGUAAACCUUAGUCAACAGGGAAGAAGCAAGUGACGGUACCUGUGGAGGAAGCCACGGCUAACUACGUGCCAGCAGCCGCGGUAAUACGUAGGUGGCGAGCGUUAUCCGGAUUUACUGGGUGUAAAGGGUGUGUAGGCGGGACUGCAAGUCAGAUGUGAAAAUUAUGGGCUUAACCCAUAACCUGCAUUUGAAACUGUGGUUCUUGAGUGUGGGAGAGGUAAGCGGAAUUCCCGGUGUAGUAGUGAAAUGCGUAGAUAUCAGGAGGAACACCGGUGGCGAAGGCGGUUUACUGGACCACAACUGACGCUGAGACACGAAAGCGUGGGGAGCAAACAGGAUUAGAUACCCUGGUA
rnacentral:rRNA from 1 species